GAAUUGUUCGCAAUGGGCGCAAGCCUGACGACGCAACGCCGCGUGGAGGAUGAAGAUCUUCGGGUCGUAAACUCCUUUCGAUCGGGACGAAUGGCUGGAGACCUAAUACGUCUUCAGAGUGACGGUACCGAGAGAAGAAGCCCCGGCUAACUCCGUGCCAGCAGCCGCGGUAAUACGGGGGGGGCAAGCGUUGUUCGGAAUUACUGGGCGUAAAGGGCGCGUAGGCGGCCUGCUAAGUCACACGUGAAAUCCCUCGGCUCAACCGGGGAACUGCGUGUGAUACUGGCGGGCUCGAAUUCGGGAGAGGGAUGUGGAAUUCCAGGUGUAGCGGUGAAAUGCGUAGAUAUCUGGAGGAACACCGGUGGCGAAGGCGGCAUCCUGGACCGACAUUGACGCUGAGGCGCGAAAGCUAGGGUAGCAAAC
rnacentral:rRNA from 1 species